GCUUUUCAUUUUACAUUAAUUUGCCAUCAGUUCUGGAUAAUCAGCUGUGCCAUUCUCCCCUCUUGCACAUGUGGUGUGCAGGCCACAGGAAACUGGAAGGCUCUGCCAGCACUAGUAGCUGGCUGCAGAGCCUGAGGCAGGGGAAAGUAAUGGAAAUGACAAGGGAAAGUGAGGAAUAACUUAUUACUAUUCUUGACUGCUUGGAAAAAUUAGUUACCUGUAAAAGUGCCCUGAAAACUUUCUGCUUGGUGCUGGAAUGAAGCAGGCUUACUGGAGUGAAGAGAUGGGAUUUUCUAGUGACUAAAGGAUAAAAGAAUGAGAUGGGUGUGAAGGCCAGACCCACUGGAUAUUUACAGAGAACUGUGAAAGAACACUGACUUCUGGCAAAUUCUCUGUACCUUCACUUCACUGCAGUGCAGGAGAGAAUAGGCUUAACAGGAAUAGAAGAAAAGGACUGCAAAGGAAGGAACAAGCCAGAAAACAGCUUCUUGGAUUUCAUUCUCGGAGAGAGCAAGUUCAAGAGUAUAGAACUGCCAAGGCCAGCAGGAGAAUUCGCAGCUGUUGAUGAGAGCAGGAAGGGAUCUUUUAUCUCCAGGAGGUAUUCUAGGAAUGGCCUACAAUAAGUGAGUAGGAACUGACAAUUUAUUUUUUUUUUUCCUUCCAUAGAAUGAUGUUCAGUUGUCUAUGGUCUGACGUUUCAAAAAAAAAAAAAAAAAAAAAAAAAAGAAGCUCCAACUGAUAAGGAGAAAGUAGAGUUGGAGAGUUAGAUUCCACUUCUCAAUGCUUUGUUGCUCCUUUUUUCUUUUUUUUUUUUUUUUUUUUUCAGUGAAGAGCCUUGCCACAGGAAAUAAAAUGCUGUACCAAAGAGCUUUAGUAAACUAC
rnacentral:lncRNA from 1 species